AACGAACGCUGGCGGCAGGCCUAACACAUGCAAGUCGAACGGCUCUUCGGAGCAGUGGCGGACGGGUGAGUAACGCGUGGGAACGUGCCCUUUGGUUCGGAACAACACAGGGAAACUUGUGCUAAUACCGGAUGUGCCCUUCGGGGGAAAGAUUUAUCGCCAUUGGAGCGGCCCGCGUUGGAUUAGGUAGUUGGUGGGGUAAUGGCCCACCAAGCCGACGAUCCAUAGCUGGUCUGAGAGGAUGAUCAGCCACACUGGGACUGAGACACGGCCCAGACUCCUACGGGAGGCAGCAGUGGGGAAUCUUGCGCAAUGGGCGAAAGCCUGACGCAGCCAUGCCGCGUGAAUGAUGAAGGUCUUAGGAUUGUAAAAUUCUUUCACCGGGGAAGAUAAUGACGGUACCCGGAGAAGAAGCCCCGGCUAACUUCGUGCCAGCCGCCGCGGUAAUAC
rnacentral:rRNA from 1 species